rnacentral:rRNA from 1 species
GGGAUGAACGGGCUGAUAUUCCCGUACCGGCAGCGAACCGAAACAACCGAGGCCUGGGGCGCUAACCUCCGGGUCCGUGCCGUCUCCCCUUUCGGGGGGUCGCGGCGCGGGCGCGUUGGGAUCCCCCCUCGCAGUAGGUCAGCGCAGGAGUGACGCAUCAGGGCAGCCGGCCGCGGAGGUGGUUUUCCGUGGUCAAGCGUUCGAGCCCGUCCCGCAGGCAAAUCCGCGGGGCGUCGGGGCGAGGCGUGAUGAUGGGGGCCUUACGGCCCGAAUCCGGUGAUCCGUGGUGCCGAGAAAAGCUUCGGCGUCAGGCGCGUUGCCGCCCGUACCCCAAACCGACACUGGUGGUCAGGUAGAGAAUACCAAAGCGAUCGAGCGAAUCCUGGUCAAGGAACUCGGCAAAUUGCUCCCGUGCCUUCGGCAUAAGGGAGACCCCCUGCGGUGAUGAGCGGCGGGGGGUGGCACAGGCCAGGGGGUAGCGACUGUUUACCAAAAACACAGGAGCGUGCGAAGGCGCAAGCCGCUGUAUACGCUCUGACGCCUGCCCGGUGCCGGAAGGUUAAGAGGAUCCGUCAGCUUCUGCGAAGCGGUGAAUUCAAGCCCCGGUAAACGGCGGUGGUAACAAUAACCAUCCUAAGGUAGCGAAAUUCCUUGUCGGGUAAGUUCCGACCUGCACGAAUGGCGUAACGACUUCCCCACUGUCUCGACCAGGAGCUCGGCGAAAUUGCAGUACGAGUAAAGAUGCUCGUUAAGCGCAGAAGGACGAAAAGACCCCGGGACCUUUACUAUACCUUGGUAUUGGCAUUAGGCGCGGAUUGUGUAGCAUAGGCGGGAGGCCUCGAGGCGGGUGCGCCAGCAUCCGCGGAGCCGCAAGGUGAAAUACCGCUCUGUUCUCGUUUGAUGUCUAACCUCGAACAGUCAUCCUGUUCAGGGACAGUGCCUGGCGGGUAGUUCAACUGGGGCGGUUGCCUCCCAAAGAGUAACGGAGGCGCUCAAAGGUCCGCUCGGCCCGGUUGGCAAUCGGGUGUCGAGUGUAAUCGCACAAGCGGGCUUGACUGCGAGAUCGACGGAUCGAGCAGGGACGAAAGUCGGAGAUAGUGAUCCGGUGCCGGCGCACGGGCGCGGCAUCGCUCAACGGAUAAAAGGUACCCCGGGGAUAACAGGCUGUUCAUUCCCAAGAGUCCAUAUCGACGGGAUGGUUUGGCACCUCGAUGUCGGCUCGUCGCAUCCUGGGGCUGGAGCAGGUCCCAAGGGUUCGGCUGUUCGCCGAUCAGAGCGGCACGCGAGCUGGAUUCAGAACGUCGUGAGACAGUUUGGUCUCUAUCCUCUGCGCUCGUUGGAAUCUUGAGGAGGCCUGCCCAUAGUACGAGAGGACCUGGGUGGACGAACCUCUGGUAUGCCGGUCGUCACGCCAGUGGCGCGGCCGGUUGGCUACGUUCGGAAGGGAUAACCGCUGAAAGCAUCUAAGCGGGAAGCCUUCUCCAAGAUAAGGAUUCCAUGCGGCCCCGAGCCGCUGAAGACCCCAUGCAGAACACGUGGUCGAUAGGCCGGACGUGGAAGCCCCGCGAAGGGUGGAGCCGACCGGUACUAAUGGUCGAGAGC